rnacentral:rRNA from 1 species
AUGGCUUGCGAUGCCGGUGACGGCGAGCCGCGCCCCAACCGCCGUCCGCCGGGCCGCGAUGUGGCCACUCGGUCGUCGCCGGAGGGAUCGCGUCGGGAGACUGAGCUUCGGGAUGCUCUGGUGCGCGCCAAGGACGUGGCGCCGUUCAAGGGCGCUGACUGGCGCGCGGCCCGUCCCCGGGAGCGCUCCCCCUCGUCUUGGCGUGGUCGGGAUCGGGAUCGUCCUUCUCCCCGUCCGUCCCGGUCUCCGCCCCGGUCUGGUCGUUCUGAGGCCUCCCCGCCCCGGCGCUAUGACCCUCCCCACCGCCAGGCCCAGUUCCCUCCGGCCAGCCCCAACAACGGCAACAACCGCAAUGGUCGUGGAGCGUUUGCUAAGAAGAAGAAGAAGAAGAAGAAGCGUGGAGCGCAAUCUCAGCUAGGUGGUCCGUCCUCCUCAGUCACCCACCCGCCGGUGCCGGCCGUCCCUCCGCCUGCCGUGACGGCGGCUACGUGCUUCAACUGCGGGGUGGCCGGGCACUGCCAGGUGGAUUUCACUCAGCCUCUGGCCUGCUUCCGCUGCUCGAGGACGGACCAUCCUGCCGCGCUUUGCCCCGACCACCAGCCCAUUGGGGCGCUUGGGUUGUUCGGUUACGCGCUUGAUGAUCUAGGCUUCUUCCAGAUGGACCUCCCCGAGGCCCGGGCCGCUCCGCCCAUGUCCGCUCUCAUCUCGGUCUUGGACGGAAAGACGGCGUCCCCGGCCAUCAUCUCCGACGAGCUUCGCCACCUGUUCAACCCGGACUGGGAUUGGGAGGUCACCCCGAUCUCAGACCGGGAGUUCUCGGUGAUCUUCCCCGACCCCGUCAGCCUUCGCUAUGGCACCCACAGCGCCAGACUCAUGCUCGCCCUCAACCAGCUCUCAGUCCGCAUCUCGGUCCCUUCGGUGGACCCUCUCGCAGUGGCCACCCCGUCCACGGUUUGGGUGCAGAUUCGUGGGCUCCCCGCGCCUGCCCACGACGAGGGUGUCCUCCGUGGCUUGUCCCGCCUGCUGGGCAAGUUUGUGGCAGUUGACAGCGCCUCUCUGCCCAAGGGCCCGGCUGUGCGGAUGCAGAUCAAGUCCCCCGACCCCUCCAAGCUCAAGACGACGAUCCGCAUGUUCUUCAACGACGUUGGCUACGACCUGCACGUCUCCGUUGAGGGUGGGACUCCCACUGAUCCCCUCAACCCGGAGGCGGGAGGUGGCGCCGCUCCAGGAUCAGAUGGGGGGCUGAUGCUCCGGGCUCCCCCCGAGGUCCUCGUCGCCACUCACCCCGCUCUGAGGCCUCCGACGAUGACUCGACUGAUCCUGGGAAUGACGGAGAGCGAGGUCAGCCGGGGUAGCAUGGAGGUUCGUCCUCCGUCCUCCCCGCGGCUGGUGUCCCCGGUGCCAGGCCGGGAGGACCUCUCGGUGCCGACGCUUCCGGAGUCUCCCGUGGCUCCGCCUCCUUCCCCGUCCUCCAGGCUCCCCAGGUCCCGGGGCCGUCCUCGUUCGGCCUCUACCCCGGUGUCAUCUGCCCGGAAGAGUGCCAGGCUUGGGGCAGCGUCAGGACUAUCCGGGGCGUCCUCGAACACGGUGGAGAAGGCUUCGCGACGUGCCACCAUCCGCAACCUCGACACAGGUCCGUCUGCCUCUCAGGCCCCUUGCUCUGAUUCCGAUGAUUUCUGUGAUGCAUCUUUUUCCGCUCUUGCUGGGGUUCCUCUUGGUCACCUUGCCAAGGUAGCGGCUGAUUCGGCUAUUGUUUUCCGUGGCGAGAAGGGCCCGGCCCUUGAGCAGCUUGCGUCCCUCCAGGCAAAAGAGAUCCUGGAGGGCCACCUCGCAGCCAUUAGGGCUCGCGAGGCGGCAGCAGCUGCGGAAGCCCCCACCCCUCCACCUCGCCGUCCCCGUGGUCGUGUCCACCCUGAGGCCGACCCAAGUGAGUUCUUGAAGGUAUGGGGGGCGAACAUUGGGAGGGACCUUCGGAUUCAGAAGGCCUCCUGCCUCGAGGAGAUCCAGGACCUUGACCUCCGUGCAGAUAUCGCAGGGAUCUCCGCGGAGGAAUGGAUGCAUAGAUACAAUUUGGAGGACUCCCUUAUGGAGAUUUACUCCAAGGAGGAAGAGUUUUGGCGCCAACGUGGCUCCAUUAACUGGGUGCUAUUUGGGGAUGCCAACACUGCUUACUUCCAGGCCAUCGCUAAUGGCCAGGCAACAAUGAGAUGGCAGUGUAUGGGUGAAGGGAGAGAUGCUCUGCCUGUAAAGAGAGUGGCAAUGGCUGCAUUCACUGACAGACAGCAAGCAUUGCAUAUACUGCUUGCUCAUGUCCUUUCAAGCCAGCUUGCUGCAGUGACACGCAGCUUACCACCACCAUCUCAUCAUCAGUUCAACCACAAGCCAAGCACCACAACAACACCCAGCGGGCUCAAAAGUUUCUCUGAACUUUCCGCCAAGAAACAAGGAGAAGCAGUCAUGGUCAGUGCCAAGAGGCUCGCCCAACUGGCAAAGAAGUGGCAGAGGAUGGCGGCCAUGGGGAGGAAGAGGCUCACCCAGACUACGACCGUGAAAAGAGCAGCCGAGGAGUGCUGCGCAAUAAACUCAGUAGCGGUGAAGGGACACUGCAUGGUGUAUACAGCCGAUGGGCGGCGGUUCAAGGUGCCACUGGUGUACCUCGACACGGUGGUCUUCGGCGAGCUCCUGAGGAUGUCUCAGGAGGAGUUUGGGUUUGCAAGCGGCCAUGAUGGUAGGAUCACGCUGCCCUGUGACGCUGCCAUGCACUUCCUCAAGAGAGAUGCCACUGCGGAAGUAAUGAUGGUGCUCCUGAGCUCCAUUGAGAGGCCGUGCUGCUUUGAUAGCGGCCUCGUUGCACUCACAAUGGAUGCUUAUCCUUGUUCAUUUCUUGGUUCAAAGUUCAGAGACGACAGCUUCAGCCGGAGGAAGUACAGCCACAAGUUAAUCCACGACUGCAAGUACCCAAGUGUCCAUCACAAUGCUGGUAUCUGGGUCCAUCACAAUGCUAGAGAAGGGCUGAUCACAUUCUCUGCUCUCCCACCCUACGCCCACCACACUGCCGCCAAAGCUGCUGCACGGCCUCGCGACGGAGCAUCUCUCCGGAGCAAGCACAUGGCAUACUCCAUGACCGCGGCAUCGCAGGGCAGUGUGAUCCUCCCGUCGUCACCGCCUACAAAGCUGAAUUCCUCCUGGGACAUCAUCAGGAGCUCGCCCAAGACCGCGGUGCUGAGGUACGCCAGCGGCACCUCGAACCGCACGCUGUCAGCGGUGUACACCACACAGUGGCCCUUCAUCGCCACCGACGGUGAAGUCGUACAGCGCUCGUCAUUGGCUGCUCCUUCUGCGGCUGUAGUGGUCUGGCCAAAAAAAACAAGGAGAACCAGUCAUGGUCAGUGCCAAGAGGCUUGCCCAACUGGCAAUGAAGUGGCAGAGCAUGGUGGCUAUUGGGAGGAAGAGGAUCACCCAGACUACAAUGGCGAAAAGAGCCGCUGCCGAAUGCCGCGCGGUGACCUCAGUGACGGACUGACGGUGAAGGGACACUGCAUGGUAUACACCUCGGAUGGCAGCCGGUUUGAGGUGCCACUGGAGUACCUCAGCACAGCGGUCUUCGGUGAGCUCCUGAGGAUGUCUCAGGAGGAGUUUGGAUUCGCGGGCGGAGAUGACGGUCGCAUCACGCUGCCCUGCGACACUGCAGUCAUGGAAUACGCCAUGUGUUUGCUCAGGAGAGAUGCCUCCACAGAAGUAGUGAUGGCGUUCCUGAGCUCCAUUGCAAGACCGUGCUGCUUUGAUGGCGGUGUGGUGGUGCCAUGCGUAGGGCUUAACCAUUAUGUAGGUGUUUGUUAG